AAAAGGCUUUUUGUAUUUUUAAUGGCUCUGAGUUAAGCCCAAACAAAUCCAACUCGCGCUAGAAAUGUUUGGUUUUUAUUUUGAAAAAUUCGAUUAAAGAAGAAAAAAAGGUGAAGAAAUUAGUAAAAAGAGCGACAAUUUUAAGUCACGUGAAGAACUCUCUUAACCUCUAAAUUCCAGUCAUGUAACAAAAAACACGGAUUCACAAGGAUCCAAGACAGGCAAUACAUGGCUGCUUAAUCAAUCGACAGCUGAGGCCAACAUCCAUCUUUGUUCUUGAGCUCUUUAUUCCUCGACACUGCAACAUUUUCGAGUGGCGAAAGCGAUCGUGCCGUGUAACACAUUUUCGCCAUAUGUGCACCGUAUUCUCAUCUUACAGGUACUCCCUGUGGUAUGGCUUUUAAAACGAGGAGACAGAAAGCGAAAUUAUGGGCACAAGGCAUUAUGGCCAUUAUCUUCAACGCCUAAAAGAAAAUCUAAAGAUGAAAAAAGGUCAACCAAAUAAGAAAGAAGAGACAGAAAAACGAACAUGACAAAAACACCAAACAUCUGGAUUUGAUCACAAGUUGAGCCUAGCGUUGAAUGUUGGGAGACCUCUGGGAUAUUCUGCGCUAGGUGUCUGGGGACUUGUUUCAUAUAUUGGAACGUUUCUUUUGAACUUAUACACGGGUGUACUUGAUAUAAUCGAGGGUGUGUGCGAUCUGGCUAAUCAGCUCAUCCGGGUGGUGAGAUUAUUUAUCAAACUGGUGUUCUCGGUGUUUGAUUUGUUGCGUUACAUAGUGGACACGCUGACGCUACCAGGUACAUUGAUAAUUUUGCAAUGUGGACUUAUGUACAUUUGUGCCCACGUAGACGGGUGGUUAGUGAGCGUAGCUCUGUCAACGCUUGGUAUCCAUGUGGUUCAUCUUCGCUUGAUUAUGUACACGAACUGGGUUAUAUUUGCGUUAACCUCAGUGAUUAAUGGAUAUAUUGCUAUGCGCCCAAGAUUAGAAAACAUAUUGUAAGAAGGAUAACAUAUACGUUGUGAGGAGAUGAUUCACAGACAGCGCACUAGCGCUAGCUUCCUUCCUUUUCUCCUCCUAGUCUCCCUCGGCACCUCCCUCCGAUAUUUUCUCUCGUCCACGGACACCUUCCCCCUCCCCUUUAGCGCCGCUACGCAGGCUACCCUUCCUCCGACUGCAGAACCAUCCCCAGACCCCCCUUCCCCCGGCUCCUCAGAAACCCAAUUCCCCUCCUUUUUUUAGCCAUACCAAAGCAAACUAAAAGACAUACUAUAGUAUAUACUCUUGAAAUGAUUUUUGUAAUUCCCGCUUGCCGCUUGUUUCCAUAGUAAUGAAGGGAGCCCGUCUUUUACAACCUCAAUACAGUCAUGAUAUCUGUGUUAUGAUAGACAUUUCGGGUCCCAUACAAAUCAAAAAGCAUAGGAAAUAUUCUCGGUUUAAAAAAUUAUUGAUAAGAAUAUUCAAAUCCUCUGUCCCUUGCCAUAUUGCAUUUUCAAUGAUUUUCUGUAAUUACCGUUGGCGAGAAUGACGUCAAUGCAUUCUAGAUUGUUUUCCAUUGUGAGCUAGGACAGUCACACGGCCAUACAUUUCAACUGCUUGGAUCUGGUUUAGCUUUAUAACGACAGUAAGGUAUGUUUCGCUUGUUUUGUUUUGCUUGAUGUUUUUUUUCGGGACUGGUUGUGUUUCUUGGCGAAGGUUAGAUGUACGAUCUGUUGUCCACAUUUUUUUACAGUAUUUCUUACGUAGUUACUGGACCGUCAGAUAUCAAGGUCGGUUUUAGUGUUCUAUUUUAUUUGGCGAAUUGCAUUUGAGUUUAUGUGUCCAGUGGCAUUAACUAAAAUAAAAAUAAAUAACAGAA